CAGUUAGGGGGAUGAUGUAUUAUUAUAGGGCUCUUAAGAUGCUUGCGUUCCUUGAUUUAGCCAAUGAGAUGGAUGUAAAAC
rfam:Cajanus cajan CcLG08_1032, whole genome shotgun sequence.